rnacentral:rRNA from 1 species
GUACAAUAAGCAAAAUAAGGGCGUAUGGGGGAUGCCUAGGCUCUCAGAGGCGAAGAAGGACGUGAUAAGCUGCGAAAAGCUACGGGGAUCUGCACAUGAGAAUUGAUCCGUAGAUAUCCGAAUGGGGCAACCCACUAUGUUGAAGACAUAGUACACCGAUAGGUGGGCAAACCCGCUGAACUGAAACAUCUAAGUAGGCGGAGGAGAAGAAAACAAAAGUGAUUCCGUAAGUAGUGGCGAGCGAACGCGGAUUAGCCCAAACCAAAGUUGUUACGGCAAUUUUGGGGUUGUAGGACCACGACAUUUUAUGUACAAGGAACCGGAAGUUGCUGGAAAGUAACACCAUAGAGGGUGAUAGUCCCGUAUGGGUAACGAGUAUAAUAAAUAGUGGUAUCCUGAGUAGGGCGGGGCACGUGAAACCCUGUCUGAAUCUGGCGGGACCAUCCGCUAAGGCUAAAUACUCCUGAGAGACCGAUAGUGAACCAGUACUGUGAAGGAAAGGUGAAAAGAACCGUGAAUAACGGAGUGAAAUAGAUCCUGAAACCAUACGCUUACAAGCGGUCGGAGCCCAUUCGUUGGGUGACGGCGUGCCUUUUGCAUAAUGAGCCUACGAGUUAACGUUGCUGGCAAGGAUAAGUACUUCAGGUAUGGAUCCGUAGCGAAAGCGAGUCUGAAUAGGGCGCUUUAGUCAGUAGUGUUAGACGCGAAACCGUGUGAUCUACCCAUGGGCAGGUUGAAGCUGUGGUAACACACAGUGGAGGACCGAACCGGUUGACGUUGAAAAGUCUUCGGAUGACCUGUGGGUAGGGGUGAAAGGCCAAUCAAACUCGGAAAUAGCUCGUACUCCCCGAAAUGCAUUUAGGUGCAGCGCUGAGCCAAGUUAUAUAGAGGUAGAGCUACUGAUUGGAUGCGGGGGCUUCACCGCCUACCAAUUCCUGACAAACUCCGAAUGCUAUAUAAUGUUUCUCAGCAGUGAGGGCUUGGGUGCUAAGGUCCAAGUCCGAGAGGGAAAGAACCCAGACCAUCAGCUAAGGUCCCCAAAUAUAUGCUAAGUUGAAAGAACGCGGUUUGUCUGCCCAGACAGCUAGGAUGUUGGCUUGGAAGCAGCCAUUCAUUUAAAGAGUGCGUAACAGCUCACUAGUCGAGCGGACGAGCAUGGAUAAUAAUCGGGCAUAAG